rnacentral:rRNA from 1 species
GAUGAACGCUGGCGGCGUGCCUAAUACAUGCAAGUCGAGCGAAUGGAUUAAGAGCUUGCUCUUAUGAAGUUAGCGGCGGACGGGUGAGUAACACGUGGGUAACCUGCCCAUAAGACUGGGAUAACUCCGGGAAACCGGGGCUAAUACCGGAUAAUAUUUUGAACUGCAUGGUUCAAAAUUGAAAGGCGGCCUCGGCUGUCACUUAUGGAUGGACCCGCGUCGCAUUAGCUAGUUGGUGAGGUAACGGCUCACCAAGGCAACGAUGCGUAGCCGACCUGGGAGGGUGUUCGGCCAAACUGGGAAUGAGACACGGCCCAGACUCCUACGGGAGGCAGCAGAAGGGAAUCUUCCGCAAUGGACGAAAGUCUGACGGAGCAACGCCGCGUGAGUGACGAAGGCUUUCGGGUCGUAAAACUCUGUUGUUAGGGAAGAACAAGUGCUAGUUGAAUAAGCUGGCACCUUGACGGUACCUAACCAGAAAGCCACGGCUAACUACGUGCCAGCCGCCGCGGUAA